rnacentral:rRNA from 1 species
GACGAACGCUGGCGGCGUGCUUAACACAUGCGAGUCGAACGGAAAGGCCCUGCUUGCAGGGUACUCGAGUGGCGAACGGGUGAGUAACACGUGGGUGAUCUGCCCUGCACUUCGGGAUAAGCCUGGGAAACUGGGUCUAAUACCGGAUAGGGGCCAUUUUUAGUGUGAUGGUUGGAAAGUUUUUUUCGGUGUAGGAUGAGCUCGCGGCCUAUCAGCUUGUUGGUGGGGUAAUGGCCUACCAAGGCGGCGACGGGUAGCCGGCCUGAGAGGGUGGACGGCCACAUUGGGACUGAGAUACGGCCCAGACUCCUACGGGAGGCAGCAGUGGGGAAUAUUGCACAAUGGGCGCAAGCCUGAUGCAGCGACGCCGCGUGGGGGAUGGCGGCCUUCGGGUUGUAAACUCCUUUCGCUAGGGACGAAGCUUUUUGUGACGGUACCUAGAUAAGAAGCACCGGCUAACUACGUG